UACGGAGGGAGCUAGCGUUAUUCGGAAUUACUGGGCGUAAAGCGCACGUAGGCGGCUUUGUAAGUAAGAGGUGAAAGCCCAGAGCUCAACUCUGGAAUUGCCUUUUAGACUGCAUCGCUUGAAUCAUGGAGAGGUCAGUGGAAUUCCGAGUGUAGAGGUGAAAUUCGUAGAUAUUCGGAAGAACACCGGUGGCGAAGGCGGCUUCCUGGCCUGUUCUUGACGCUGAGGCGCGAAAGCUAGGGGAGCAAACGGG
rnacentral:rRNA from 1 species